UCCGUAGGCGGGCUAAUAAGUCAGGGGUGAAACCCCACAGCUUAACUGUGGAACUGCCUUUGAUACUGUUAGUCUUGAGUUAUAUGGAAGUAGAUAGAAUGUGUAGUGUAGCGGUGAAAUGCAUAGAUAUUACACAGAAUACCGAUUGCGAAGGCAGUCUACUACGUAUAUACUGACGCUAAUGGACGAAAGCGUGGGGAGCGAACAGGAUUAGAUACCCUGGUAGUCC
rnacentral:rRNA from 1 species